UACGUAGGGGGCUAGCGUUGUCCGGAAUCAUUGGGCGUAAAGCGCGUGUAGGCGGUCCGGUAAGUCCGCUGUGAAAGUCGAGGGCUCAACCCUCGAAUGCCGGUGGAUACUGUCGGGCUAGAGUGCGGAAGAGGCGAGUGGAAUUCCGGGUGUAGUGGUGAAAUGCGUAGAGAUCCGGAGGAACACCAGUGGCGAAGGCGACACGCUGGGCCGUACCUGACACUGAUGCGCGACAGCAUGGGGAGCAAACGGG
rnacentral:rRNA from 1 species